CGAAAGCGCCGUGCUAAUCGGCCUUGUCUCUGGCUGUAAUUAUCGACCCUUUAGUACAAGCAGGCUUCUGCCUCUCACUUAUUAUAUUGUGUCUCUUUUGUGUUUUGCUUUUCUCAUCUGUUUUUUGUUCCUCUUUCUGUCUUUUGAUUCCAGCGCAUUGAAGAAGAACGGGCCUGAUUGUCUCGCCUGAGUCCCCAGGAAUCCUCUUGAGAGGAGCAGGCCCCUAAGUUCCAGGUUUCUGAAGCUCCUGGAGAUAUGAGCACCUGAUUGGUGCUUUUCUUGGAAGAUGAACACCUGUCGUCCCUGGCCGUACAUCCCUCCGGCCCAUCGUCUCCCCAGCCGCCCCGCAGGGGAGGAAAGGCGGCGUGAUAAACGAGAGGCGCUGGCGAACACCCAAGGCAGUGAUAUCUGAUCCGCCUCCCACAUCCCAGAACAGGCAGACGGACAACGAAGGCGGCACAAAAAAAAAAAAAGCUAAAUAUGUCACAUCUCUGCCGCUUUUGAAACAAGUGAUGAGAGAUGAUGAGUUUCCUGUUACCCCGACUGCUCCCCCCUCCUAUUUGGAUUGAGGAGCUGAGCCACUUUAAUAGCGAUAUCGGGAGGAGGGGCGGCUGUGAGGAAACAACAAGGCCUAACGAAAGAUUUAAGCCUUUAGCCACGCUAAAUGCUCAAUGAUCACAUCCGGUAACACAAGUUUCAUGAGUCUACCCGACACAGCACAAAGAUCGACGGAAUGAAUGCAGCUUGUUAUGCAAAGGAUUGAAGGCAGUGAUCUACUUCUCCGUCUUGCUGUUUGGAUACGGAGUAUAACACUUAUGCAUUAGCUGAGGGGGUUGGGGGGGUGGAAACAAAGGAAAGUCUGAGGAUAUCUCAGGAAACGUGUUCACGCGGUAAUGCGGCAGAGGCCGCGGCGAUUAAGUGGGAAACAAAUACAGUAACAUGAGCGUCAGUAAGUGAGUGUUGUUUUUCUUCUUCUCUUCCUGUGUUUACAGAGAAUGUCCUUCAGACUGGAUCUAAGCAGCUGUGUCAGCAAGCGUUCUGCCUGCAGAGGGGGCUUUGAUCAACACACUGACGCCCUACAAGCUGCUCUGCUGCUGACCCCGACCUCUGACCUCUGUGUGGCCAAAGGAACACACGGCGUGUCUGUGGGGAUCGUCGAGGUGUUGCACAAUUUGACUUUUGUCCUUCAGUUUUUGAUGAUUAAAACUGAGACUGUAGGCUACUUACAAUAUGCGGUGCACUAGUUUUAUAAUGCAGCAAAUCUUAACCAGACAAAAAAAGACAUGAAUAUUUAAAGCGUAUGUUUAAUCUCUAAAUCAGUACUACUUCCUAGAUGCAUUAGAUGCAUGAACUGUUUAAUCAAUAAAUUUGCACAAGCUCUA